rnacentral:rRNA from 1 species
AGAGUUUGAUCAUGGCUCAGAACGAACGCUGGCGGCAUGCCUAACACAUGCAAGUCGAACGGGAUCCGAGCUUCGGUUCGGUGAGAGUGGCGAACGGGUGAGUAACGCGUGGGAACCUGCCCAGAGGUACGGAAUAACAGUUGGAAACGACUGCUAAUACCGUAUGAGCCCGAGAGGGGAAAGAUUUAUCGCCUUUGGAGGGGCCCGCGUCAGAUUAGGUAGUUGGUGGGGUAAAGGCCUACCAAGCCUACGAUCUGUAGCUGGUCUUAGAGGAUGAUCAGCCACACUGGGACUGAGAUACGGCCCAGACUCCUACGGGAGGCAGCAGUGGGGAAUAUUGGACAAUGGGGGCAACCCUGAUCCAGCAAUGCCGCGUGAGUGAUGAAGGCCUUCGGGUUGUAAAGCUCUUUUGCCAGGGACGAUGAUGACGGUACCUGGAGAAUAAGCCCCGGCUAACUUCGUGCCAGCAGCCGCGGUAAUACGAAGGGGGCUAGCGUUGUUCGGAAUUACUGGGCGUAAAGGGCGCGUAGGCGGUCUGAUAAGUUAGGUGUGAAAUUCCCGGGCUUAACCUGGGCGCUGCACUUAAUACUGUUGGGCUUGAAUUCAGGAGAGGAUAGCGGAAUUCCCAGUGUAGAGGUGAAAUUCGUAGAUAUUGGGAAGAACACCGGUGGCGAAGGCGGCUAUCUGGACUGACAUUGACGCUGAGGCGCGAAAGCGUGGGGAGCAAACAGGAUUAGAUACCCUAGUAGUCC